GACGAACGCUGGCGGCGUGCUUAACACAUGCAAGUCGAACGGAAAGGCCUCUUUUGGGGGGUACUCGCGUGGCGAACGGGUGAGUAACACGUGAGUAACCUGCCCUUGACUUAGGGAUAACUUCUGGAAACUGGGGCUAAUACCGGAUAGGAGCUCCUGCUGCAUGGUGGGGGUUGGAAAGUUUCGGCGGUUGGGGAUGGACUCGCGGCUUAUCAGCUUGUUUGUGGGGUAGUGGCUUACCAAGGCUUUGACGGGUAGCCGGCCUGAGAGGGUGACCGGCCACAUUGGGGCUGAGAUACGGCCCAGACUCCUACGGGAGGCAGCAGUGGGGAAUAUUGCACAAUGGGUGGAAGCCUGAUGCAGCAACGCCGUGUGCGGGAUGACGGCCUUCGGGUUGUAAACCGCUUUCGCUCAUGACGAAGCUUUGUGUGACGGUAGUGGGUAAAGAAGCACCGGCUAACUACGUG
rnacentral:rRNA from 1 species